CCUACGGGGGGCAGCAGUGGGGAAUAUUGGACAAUGGGGGGAACCCUGAUCCAGCCAUGCCGCGUGUGUGAAGAAGGCCCUCGGGUUGUAAAGCACUUUCAGUGAGGAAGAACGCCUGGUGGUUAAUACCCAUCAGGAAAGACAUCACUCACAGAAGAAGCACCGGCUAACUCCGUGCCAGCAGCCGCGGUAAUACGGAGGGUGCGAGCGUUAAUCGGAAUUACUGGGCGUAAAGCGCGCGUAGGUGGCUUGAUAAGCCGGUUGUGAAAGCCCCGGGCUCAACCUGGGAACGGCAUCCGGAACUGUCAAGCUAGAGUGCAGGAGAGGAAGGUAGAAUUCCCGGUGUAGCGGUGAAAUGCGUAGAGAUCGGGAGGAAUACCAGUGGCGAAGGCGGCCUUCUGGACUGACACUGACACUGCGGUGCGAAAGCGUGGGUAGCAAACAGGAUUAGAUACCCCUGUAGUC
rnacentral:rRNA from 1 species